ACAGCUCGACAAGGUUUCUUUCCAAGGUUGCAACUUUCUUCUUUUUAACCAUCCCCGUCCUUCCUUUCCCAGUGACCUCUCGCCGCUCGCCUAUGUCUUCUGUCUUCCCUUUGAGCUCUCUGCUUUCCAACUGAGUCACCAGAACGAGUUAUGGCAGCAAUCUGAAGCCGGGAGAACCGGCAGCAGAGCACCCAAGAAGAAGAAGAUGAAGAAGAUGAGAAGAAGAAGAAGAAGAAGAAGAAGAGAAGUGGGUGUCCGAGAUGGGAUCUUGGGGAUCGGCGAUGCGCGCGAGCCUGAGAAGGCGUCGGCCGGCGGAGGAGGCGGCUGAAGAGACGAGGGAGGUGGGUCGUGGUUCUGGGCGCGUGGGUCUUCACGCCGUGUACAUGGUUGAGCAUAUGCGAGAUCUACUUCAAGAAUCCCGUUUGUCCACGGCCCUGGAUCCCGUCGCUCCUCGCUUCGGGGCACCCGCCAGGCGCCUCGGUCUUCUCGUCGGUUAACAGCUUCACCGAGAGGAAGCUCUGUACUUGGUGCUUCCUUUUUGCGGGGUUUGCUGCGUUUUCUUAUCUAUUCUACUUGAUCCCGUGGAGAUCUCAGAUACCAGCUUUUGUUUGCUUGGACUGUUGGUUCAUGUCUGGAUUCGCACCGAUGCUAGCUGAAAUUCCUGAUGAUAAUCCAUUGGUGAUAUCGAGCGGAGUGUUGAUCACUGUUAUAGGAGUAGCUGCAAGGUGGCUAGACAAGCAUGCUGAAGGCAGUACUUUUGGUGGGGUUGUCCUCAAUGAUGGUAUCACUCUCAACAUCUCACAGUAAAUGCAGAACCAAAGAACUACACAUACUUCACCAGCUCCUAAACUGUUACAUGGCUGGUUCUAUGAUUCUUUCUUUAUGCAGAAGAUGCCCUCUUAUCUCGGUUGACUUCCUUAUUUCUUGGUUUUGAUCCACCUUUCCUUCUUCUAUCUAUCGAAUACAAAGCUGUCUUCUAUGAGGCACACUUGCUCUUGCACUUAUGGCGUGGUUCCUUUUUGAAUACACACAACUCUAUUUAGUGAAAUUGAGAAGAUUACUGUAUCCAAUAUGAGCACAGUGGAAAACGCGGUUCUUGAAACUGAUGAGAAAUAGUUGCGGCUCUUUGAUGUGAGAAUUCCUCCAACUUUUAUGUUAGGGAAGAGAUUUGUUGCUCAGUGUCAAUCACCUCCCGUAGUUGGAUCUCGGGAUUAUUUCAUCACAAACAGAUCAAAUAUGGCCAUUUGCACUUCAUUUUGGGAAAGAAAAAUCAAGGAAAGGAAGAAUCUUCAAAGAUUGUUGACUAUAUUUACACUCAAAAUCUGUGCUUGAAAAGUAUACCUCCUCUCCAUUAAGCGUGGAAAGUGCAUCACUGUGAUUCCAUAACUAACUGCACUUUCGAGUCUUUUUGGGAUCUUCCAUCCUGACAAUUUCCCUGCCGAACUCUUUUAGUUGAUUAUGCAUCCAUAAAUCUUUGUUUUCUCCUAUUUUGACCAAACACUUGUCACCGAGAAACUAGAUUCCUUCAAGGAUAAUAGCAACAAGCACUCCACACGAAUGAGAGAAUUUUCUUAUCCAAUCCAAUGAAAAACAUGCUAUGUCGAGGAAUAUCUGUCAUGUCUCUUCAUCUAGAGAGCCAUAGCUUACCUUGAACACUUCUUCGAUACCAUUUUCUAGCUUCCUUCUUUAUCUAUCCAAUGUCUCUCUCCAUAUUUGUAUUUUCCCCUUAUUCUCAUAUAAGUAUGAAGCUGUUACCUCAAUAGCCAAAGGAAGCCCUCCAAUAAUGUCAACAAUGUCUAUGGACAAAGAAUCAUACUUAUACUCCUCUUCGGGAUACCCCAUCCAAUAAAUGAUUUCAAAAGCAUCGUGCCCAUUUUCUAUGAUGUUAACCCCACUGGUUUAUAACACCAACGUGGAUGUGUUGGGGAGUCAUGUGAGCACAAGAACCAUGGAAUUGACUGCAAGGACAUUGCUAAAUGGAAGCAGGUUCUCCAAGAGAUUGCUGAGAUGUAGGUAUGAGCUGCUGAAUACAAACAAAGGGCAUCAAGGUGAACUCAAAAGGAGAGUUGUUUCAGAUAUUGUACUGUUGUUGAAGAAGAAUGAUUUAGUUGUAACUAGCAGUUUAGUGGGCAUUGAACCCCAUACGGGAGGUUAUGAAAGAGCUUGGUGUCAUCUAUUUUAAUGAGUAAUCAACGGAAGUAUGUGACAAAGAUGCCCUAGUAUUUGGUAUAUGCGGAAUGCCAGGGAUUGGCAAGACUACCGUUGCAAAGGUUGUGUACAAAGUAAAUCCAUCAUCUCUUUCAAGGUUGUAGUUUUCUUUCAGAUAUUUGGGAAAAUGUUAAAAUGAAUAUUCAUGGGCUUGCAAGAACAGGUACUCUCACACCUCCGAAAGCAAGAAUAUAGAAGUCUAAGGACUCCUGACCAAGUUGGCUUGGCCCCAGGAAGUAGCAUUCACAUGAAAGUUGGAAGAAAAGAUGUUCUUAUUAAUUAUGGGGAUGGAAUGGUUGAUAAGUAUGAGGAUGAACCAAUGAGGCCUUAACAAGCUCAUCAACUUUUCUGCAAGCAUACUUUUGUGGAUAUCUCCCAAAGAGGAGAGGAUGAUUCUCUGUCCAAAAGACAUUAUCGACAUUAUUGGAGGCCUUCCUUUGGCUAUUGAGGUAAUAGCUUCAUACCUAUAUGGCUAUAAGGGAUGAAUACAAAUAUGGCGAGAGGCAUCGGAUAAAUUAAGAAGGAAGCUCGAAAAUGAUGUCGAAAAAGCGUUCAAGGUAAGAUAUGGCUCUUUAGAUGAAGAGACGAGACAGAAAUUUCUCGAUAUAGCAUGUUUUUCAUUGGAUGGGUAAAUAAAAAAACCCUUAUACAUGUGUAUGAGUGCCUACGGUUAUUGUCCUUCAAGAGGAAUUUAGUUCCUCCGUGACGGGUGUUUGGGCAAGACAGGAGAAAACAAAGAACUAUGGAUGCAUAAUCAAUUAAGAGAGUUUGGCAGGGAAAUUGUGAAGAUGAAAGAUCUCAAAAAGCCUCGAAAGAGCAGUUGUUUGUGGAAUCGCACUGAUGCACUUUCCACUCUUAGUGGAGAGGAGGUAUACUUUCCAAGCACAAAAUCUUUUAAUAGUGCUAUAAAUGUGGAAGCCCUUGGUCUCACGUUUGAUGAGGGACAAAGUAAAUUGUUUUAGAUGUGAAGGAUUUGGCCAUCUAUGGAGGUUGAGGAUCUUGAGAUUGGAUCGGGCUAUUAUUGGAGGGAGUUCUCAAAAUGUUCUUUCAAAGUUAAGGUGGCUUGAUUGGCAAGGGUGCAGCGAGGUCUCUGAACUACUUAUUUGCAUUUGGAGAACUUGGUCAUUCACUUGAGUUGCUGGAAGUCAUGCAUAUGUCAAGCACCACGAUUGCUAGAUUACCUAGGUCCGUCAAGGAUUUGAAAAAUUUGGAAGUGUGGAAGACGGAGGAUACUCACUCAUGAGAAUUCCCCAAAGAUUUAAAAAAUCUAGAAAAACUGGAAGAGAUAGAUCUCUGAAGGGCUGGCUAAUUUGCUGUGAUAUCAAUGGACUAGCCUCUUUGAAAACCUUGGGACUACUAUCUACCUAGACUUUUGGCCUGCCCUAGAGUGAGGACAGGUUUUCUGGGUGCCAAACCCUUUCAUUACUCUCUCAUCUCCAACAACUAAACUCAAGUGAAUGUUACCAACUUCUGGCUCUGCGAAGAGUUCCAUCCAGUUUGAGCAGUCUUCGCUUCGAUCCAAAAAAAUGAUUGCAGUGUUAAAUCUUUCUUACCCGAGAAACUUGAAAGAGUUGCACGUGGGUGAUAACUUGGGUGAUAUUACUGAUCCAAUGCGGAAAUCUUCCAAUAAGCCACCACAAAUUGGACGGGUAAAAAGUCCAGCGAAUCUCGAAACCCUGGAAUCUGCCUCUCAAAGAUUAUGACGCCACCUGAAAAUUUUAGUGCACCUCAACUUCGUAACUUGUUUUACACUAGGAAAGCUUGCUUGACCUCCAAGAGCUACUCUCUAGCUUAUCGACAUUGUCUUUGGCACUGCAAGAUUCAAGUCCCACAAUAUUUUCCAGUGAGGUUUGUUUGAAUUAGAACUCAAAUGCUGUCACUUGGCGGAGAUUUGAAGAUUUAAAGCUAUUGCAUCUUCUGAAAAUAACCCACUGCAGUGUGCAAACACUUGAUGGCUGGAAAAUUUGCCCCAUCUUAGAAAGCUCACAUUAUUCAAGUGCCCUUCACUGACUGAAUUACCAGAUCGAACAAAGUGUAAUUUCAAAGUUGAUAUGUGCAAUCACAAGGAGAACAAUGAUUGGCAGAUAUGUUACUUUCAUCUAUGGUCAGAAUAUUGUGGAAGUUGCUUCAAGAAUGAUUCUGAUUUAUGAGUGAAGAUCUUGCUGCACAACGAACAUUCCAUCAUCUUCAAGAAAAGUUGGAGCCGACUUUUAAAGGUGGAUACUCAAUAUCAGAGUGAUGAUGGGGCAAGACUACUUGAUGGAGGAGAUAUGGCUGGCUGUUUUUGUUUGAAUGGGAGAUUUGUAGCCUUGAGGGCCAGUGGAUGCACGUUGAGAAGAUAAGCCGAUGGGACUUGAGUGCGGAUGCGUGGAGUCACAUACUGUUCCUUCCUUUUUGGGCUGAGUCUUAAAAGAUUGACAGAGGAGUUACAGUUUCAGUGUUGCAGAGUUUAACUCUUGAUCUUAGUUGAUGUUAAUAACUCAAAAGUAGCAAGAACAAAGCAUUUCCCCUA